GAAGAUUUCUCCUCUUGGAGUUUUGCAGUAAGCCCGAGGACAAGGAUAUGUUAACUGAUCCUCACUAGAACUGACAAUGUAAAAUUACAGAGCACGUGACUCUUCCCUAUCUUAUGAGGAAUAAAAGAGAAAAUAACUCAGAAUCGAGGACUGCAAUAAUACAACAAUUUCAUGUAUA